rnacentral:rRNA from 1 species
UAAGGAAUAUUGGUCAAUGGGCGGAAGCCUGAACCAGCCAUGCCGCGUGCAGGAAGACGGCCCUACGGGUUGUAAACUGCUUUUGCAGGGGAAUAAACCCCACUACGUGUAGUGGGCUGAAUGUACCUUGAGAAUAAGGAUCGGCUAACUCCGUGCCAGCAGCCGCGGUAAUACGGAGGAUCCAAGCGUUAUCCGGAUUUAUUGGGUUUAAAGGGUGCGUAGGCGGCCUGUUAAGUCAGGGGUGAAAGACGGUAGCUCAACUAUCGCAGUGCCCUUGAUACUGAUGGGCUUGAAUACACUAGAGGUAGGCGGAAUGUGACAAGUAGCGGUGAAAUGCAUAGAUAUGUCACAGAACACCAAUUGCGAAGGCAGCUUACUAUGGUGUCAUUGACGCUGAGGCACGAAAGCGUGGGGAUCAAACAGGAUUAGAUACCCGGGUAGUCC